GAAUGCACAGAAUUUUAGAAGGAAAUGAAAUAUCCAUGCAGGUGGCAAUCAUUGCAAAUUGCUCUGUGGCUUAUCUUAUAAAAGUUCGCCAUCAGAUUGGACGAAAUCGUGGGGUUGUGCAGGUUGCUAAUAAUCGGAAAGUUUCAAAUAACAAGGUCGCUCAUAGCAACAUAUUAAACACAUGAUAUUGGUUGUUCAGUGAGUUCGAGUUUGAUGGCUGACGCAAUCGAGGAUUCAAACGCGAGCAGAUAAUACGUGAAAUCGUGCAGUAGGGAAGCUAGUUGAUUUGUAAACACCAAAUUCAAUAAUUGCGUACAGUCGCUUCCCGACAGCAUCCUAAAGAUCCCUCGGAUGCCUUCAAUACACUUUCGUAACCCCAACUGUCAAAAAGUUACUACUGAAUCGUUAUCAGACGGAGUAUUUGAAUAAGUUUUGUAAUGACUCCGAGGCAGUACUCUACGGGCAUCGACAGUUUCCAGAACAUGUUUGGCUACAGCAAAGACCCGUCGGUUCAUCUUCUUUUCGCGUAGAUGAAGUACCCCGAGGGACAUACCUCAGACCACCAUACGCUUCGCGAUUAACGUAUUAUGAUGAAAUGAACGACAGAAAAAUUACCAGGGCACCAAGAUGUCACACAACGCAACCCAAAAAACCGGACAAGUGCACACAAUUAAGUCGGCCAAAAAGCGAAGAAGGUCGGACUAUAGAAGAUAGCCACCAAAGAAGGAAACAAGACAUCGACAAAAUGACUUUGCAAAAAUAUCGUGAAACAAGCCACGAGAACAUGAUUGGUCCACGCGUCUUCUUCCAUCCAACAAUUCCUCCACCCCGUCGCGAUUACGUUAUUCAUCCCGCGUUUCAUUCCGAAGCAAAAAAACGCCCGCGCAAUGUACCGGUCAGGAAACAUCCAGUCAGCGGGAAAGAAAAAGAUCGCAAGUUUGAUAUCAGGAAAAACAGAAUACUACCAAUUGAAAAAUAGACUGGAAUACAGAUUUGACUAAAUGAGUACGAGGUGCAAUCAUCACAAAAACUAUACUCCACUGAAUGCUAAGUUCUUUGUUUCAAAAAGUUCUUCCUGGAAAGGAAAAAAGCUACAAUUUAAUGUUUAAAUUUAAAACUGACAUAAAACUGAUUCAAAGAGAACGAAGUUUGAUUAAUUAUGAAGACCUUACCUGUCACUACCAUUCCUUCUUCUAUGUCUCGGUUUCUUUGAAGAAAUUUCAAUAAAACUUUUCUAUCCAA